rnacentral:rRNA from 1 species
GACGAACCGUGCGAACGUUGUUCGGAAUCACUGGGCUUAAAGGGCGCGUAGGCGGGCCGGACGGUCCGGGGUGAAAUCCCCCCGCUCAACGGGGGAACGGCCCCGGACACCGCCGGCCUCGAGGGAGGUAGGGGCGUGCGGAACUUUGGGUGGAGCGGUGAAAUGCGUAGAUAUCCAAAGGAACACCGGUGGCGAAGGCGGCAUCCUGGACCGACACUGACACUGAGGAGCGAAAGCCAGGGGAGCAAACGGG